GGAGAGGUGGCAGAGUGGUUGAAUGUACCUGACUCGAAAUCAGGCGUACUCGCAAGAGUAUCGGGGGUUCGAAUCCCCCUCUCUCCU
rnacentral:tRNA from 1 species